GGCAAAGCAGCGUCACCUGAAGACAGACUCACUAGAGACAUGACCACCGCACAUCUUUCGCUCCACUCUCCCUUCACUAUCUUCAAGAGUAAUUCUCAAAGCUCCACUCCCGGCGUACAAUAGCACCUCCGGCGCAGAAGAGUCAUCACCCCGCCGUGCAUAGUCUGCUAUAGAAGCCGAAGCCGAAGCCGAAGCCGAAGCCGAGACGACUACCACGCCAAUCUCAAAGCUCUCAACUCCAAAGGCCGCACCCCAAGGAAAUCUCUUGGCCAGGAUGCCCACAUGGCUGCUAUUGUGAGUGAAAGAUUUGCAAGCACAGACAGCUUGAAGAACUUAAGCAGUGUCAGGUAGGAAUUAACCAUUUGCAAUCUUCAGUGAAUGGCUCUAGAUGCCUACACAAAGAAUUAAUUAUUUACAAUCUUCAGAGCCUGGUUUUGUAGGAAGACUUUGUGAAAUGUCACAUUUGCUCCCAUAUGUUGUCAUUUCUGGGAAGUAUAAAGUUGUUGAAUCAUUCCAAAUCAAGAUAUGCAAAACCUGCAGGAACAAACAUCAACCUGACCAUCUGGCAUGGAACUUCUGACCCCUGGUUGUUAGCAGUUGCAUCCCUUUCCUUGGCAGUAGUUACUAAAAGAUCUUAGCUGUUGUUUGGAAUACAUGUGAGUCAGAGAAGAGUAGAUUUCUUGGUGAUAAUCAUCACCAAGCACCAAUUCUACUUCUCAUCUUACUUGUAAUUUAUGUGCAUUCAGGGAAACAAAGAACAAAAAAAUGUGCUGAUGUUAUAUAUACACAUCUUAUUAUUGCCGUUACUCUUUUUCUUUUAAUUCCUAGAAGACCAAAACUUAUAAUUAUGUUAUAUAUACACUCAUCUUAUUCUUAUCACAAUGUGCCGAUGUAGCA